AUUGACAUGUAGACACUCACCUAUAAUAAACCCAACAUAUUCAAGAUCUCAUACAAAAAUACCUUCUCAAUAUGUUAUGGGACUUGAUUAUGUUCUUUUCCUCUCUUUGGGCCUCUUGUACUGUAACUUUUAAAGGAGUUCUUCUUAAGUGUUUUACAACUCAACUAGGCUGCGGUUUGCGCUUCAAAAGUUUGAGAGUGUUGGGGUUUCUCUUUGUUUUUAGUUUUCUAAAGUUGGGUGGUUUCUACUUUGUUCAGUUUUUGUUUUUGUGGGAAGGACCUCUCAUCCUUCUCUUGUUUUCUUCUUUUUCUCUUGUAUCUUUUCUUCUAUUAAUAUAAUUUUCUUCGUUUCUGAUAAAAAAAAAAUAAAAAAAAAAUGUAUCCAGUUCCUGUUGUACCACAUCAACACCAAUUCAUAUUUUGUCAUCUCAAAUCUUAAAGAAAAAAAAAAUUCAAUUUGAAAAUAAUUAAGGAAAAUUUUCAUAGCUAGAUACUUUCUCCUCAACAUAUUGCUACUCUUCAACUUUGUUAUAGUUCUCAGUCGCUUGUUGUAGCUAAUUUUCCCUAAGCAUGGUCAUCAUAGCUUCUACUUUGUAUUCCCGUAAGUUCACCUGUUUUCACUUCUAAUUCCUUAUAUAGCUACAAUGACGAUCUUUUGAAUUAUCCCCUUUAAUCAUCCUUGAGCAGAAAAUAUGGAAGUAUGAAGAAAAUUCUAGUUUCCAACUUUCUUUCCCCCCUCAAACAUGUUUUUUGUUUGAAACCAGUCUCACAUACUUGUAAUUGAAUAAUGUCAUGAGCCACUUUAAGACUUUUUUUGGUUGGGGUUUUGGGUGGGGGAGGGGGAGACGGAGAAAGGGAAGGGGGGAAUUGUAAUUAUUAUAUAGCAAUAUAUAGAUUGUACAAUAUGUAGAUUAGAAUUAUGGAGGUUUUGGUAUUCAAAGAGGCUCCACAAACAUUUAGUUUGUAAAUACAAAUGUAAAAGAUAGAUCACAGAGAAAAGGAGAAUAAAAAAACAUAAAGACAGUCAUAAACUCACCAAAUUCCACAUGAUUUAAGUAAACUAAAUUGAAAUGCAUGAUUUUUAUUUUUAUUUUUAUUUUUUUUAAAAAAAAACAUAAGGAAGGUCAUAAACUCACCAAAUUCCACAUGAUUUAAGAAGACUAAAUUGAAAUGCAUAAUCAUAAACGUAUACUGUGACCACUGUAAAUUGUCUUCAAUGUUGAGGAAAAAAGAUUUAAGAGGCUGGAAGAUUUUCAUGAAAAGCACUAUUUAUAGUCUCCCUAGCAACUAUAUGUAAGCUUUGAUGAUGCCAAAAGGCCUAAAAGAAAUUUGCUUUAGAAGGGUGGGUUGACAACUAGAAAGAUUCAUCCAGUCCCAAUAGAAGAGUUUGCUUUGUUAAGACUAAUGAUGGUUUGGGUAUUAUAGACAAUCUUGAACAAAAUUAUGAAGAUUUAUCAGUGGGAAGGACAGUUAGUACGGAAGGGGUGGAGGAGGUGUUGGGGUUGUGUUUGGAAUUUGAGAUAGCACAGAGGCUAGUAGGGUUAUCCUCUGGAAAGCAUCAGAAGACUUUUAUACAAAUUCGAUUCCCUAAAAUGUUUAAUAUGGUAGUUCUGAAAGAAGUUUGGGUGCUAGAUUGUUGAAUUGAGGGAGAAUAGCUUCUAGGUAGCAAGGACUCCAUUUUCUGAGGUGGCUUCUUUGAAAGGCAGCUAGAGCCAUUUAUGCAGCUCCUAGACGUAAUGUCUAUUCAUAGCAGUGCAGGGGGUAGAUUGGCAUGGGGGAGCCUUGUUUUUUUUUUUCUUUUUUUUCACAAGCUUUAUGACUCUUAAGGUGUCAUCCAAAGUUUCUUUGCUAGAAAAGCCAGCAUGGGAGGAUAUCUUAACAUUAACAACUCUAUGAGAUGCAGUUGGAUAAUGGUUAGCGCAAACAAGAGGAAACUGCAAACCAUACUCUGAUUCAUUGUGGAUGAGCUUCUAAUUUGUAGUCUCGGGUAUUCUCCUUGUUUAAGGUGUCUUAUUGUCAUAGCUCACUCCCAAUUUUGUGUAGAUCUACAAAUUUUCCAUUCUCCAAGGGUUUCAAGCAGCUCCAAAAUGUUCCAGAACUUUGAAGUGCCCGAAGCAGAUUUUAAGGUAUUUGAAGGUGCUUAGAGCAACUUUAAGGUGCUUGAAGGAGCAUACAACAGCCGCUAAGGAGUUUAGUAGUGCUUGGACCAGCUUAGAAGUGCUUGACAAGCUUAUUAGAAUUCCAUAUUCAAUAUGUAUUAAGAGGACUUUCCCCUCGUACCGAUAACUAGGUGGUCUACCAUCAAUCAAGUUGACAAGUGUUUUGUAAAGUUUUCUAAUGUUAUUACACUUGCUUUCUUCAAAUAUUCUCUCUCUAUAAUUUUUUUUUUAUCAGAAUUUCUUCAAGCAUUCUCUUCCUAUUAUUAACUCUUGCUUUUAUUUUCCCAGUGGCUUGAAUUAGGCUUAUUAAGUUGCUUAGAGUUUGAGGUGCUGAGUUACCGUAUGAAUUCUCAGAUAAGGUAUUGGUCUGUGAUAUCACGCUCUUCCCAACCCAUUUGGAGAUUUGGCCGGGCAUGAUGGUUUCAAAGAAAAGAGAUAUAAGCCAAUGGUUCACUUCUGAUAAUAUAAAAAGAGAGGAACAGAAGGUUCUUCGAUAAUUUAGAGCAAUCAAUUUUGAUUGUGAAGCACCAAGUCCUUAGAACUCUACUUUUAUGGUCUAAAGAUCUGAUUCACUCUCUUUUUUUUGAUAGUUU
rnacentral:lncRNA from 1 species